UACGGAGGGGGCUAGCGUUGUUCGGAAUUACUGGGCGUAAAGCGCACGUAGGCGGCUUUGUAAGUUAGAGGUGAAAGCCCGGGGCUCAACUCCGGAAUUGCCUUUAAGACUGCAUCGCUAGAAUUGUGGAGAGGUAAGUGGAAUUCCGAGUGUAGAGGUGAAAUUCUUAGAUAUUCGGAAGAACACCAGUGGCGAAGGCGACUUACUGGACACAUAUUGACGCUGAGGUGCGAAAGCGUGGGGAGCAAACAGG
rnacentral:rRNA from 1 species